CUAUAUGGAGGUAUAUAUAGUUUAACCUGCUCACUGAUUAAAUUAAAGAGCCGCAGUAUCCUGACUGUGCGAAGGUAGCAUAAUAGAUUGUCUUUUAAAUGGAGGCUUGAAUGAACGGUUGGAUAAAGUAUCAUCUGUUUCUUAAAUAAAUAUUGAAUUUGACUUUUAAGUGAAAAGGCUUAAAUAAUUUAAAAAGACGAUAAGACCCUAUAAAUCUUUACAAAAAAUUUACUUUAAAUUUUAAAUUUUAAAUACAUAAGAUAUAAAAUAAACUUUUGUUAUGCUGGGGCGGCAUAGAUAUAUAAAAAACUGUUUAUAAUAUUAAAUCAAUUAUAUUUGAUUAAUAAUAUUUGAUCCUUUAAUAGAUUAAAAGAUUAAGAUACUUUAGGGAUAACAGCGUUAUUUUUUCUGAGAGUUCCUAUCGAAGAAAGAGUUUGCGACCUCGAUGUUGAAUUAAAAUUCUUUAAUGGUGUAGCAGCUAUAUAAAGGAGUCUGUUCGACUUUUAAUAUUUUACAUGAUUU
rnacentral:rRNA from 1 species